rnacentral:rRNA from 1 species
GACGAAGGGGCUAGCGUUGUUCGGAAUCACUGGGCGUAAAGGGAGCGUAGGCGGCGUGGUAAGUCAGAUGUGAAAUCCCGGGGCUCAACCCCGGAACUGCAUCCGAUACUGCCGUGCUAGAGGAUUGGAGAGGUAGCUGGAAUUCUUGGUGUAGCAGUGAAAUGCGUGGAGAUCAAGAGGAACACUCGUGGCGAAAGCGAGCUACUGGACAAUAUCUGACGCUGAGGCUCGAAGGCCAGGGUAGCGAAAGGG